GAUGAACGCUGGCGGCGUGCCUAAUACAUGCAAGUCGAGCGAACAGACGAGGCGCUUGCUCCUCUGACGUUAGCGGCGGACGGGUGAGUAACACGUGGAUAACCUACCUAUAAGACUGGGAUAACUUCGGGAAACCGGAGCUAAUACCGGAUAAUAUAUUGAACCGCAUGGUUCAAUAGUGAAAGACGGUUUUGCUGUCACUUAUAGAUGGAUCCGCGCCGCAUUAGCUAGUUGGUAAGGUAACGGCCUACCAAGGCGACGAUGCGUAGCCGACCUGAGAGGGUGAUCGGCCACACUGGAACUGAGACACGGUCCAGACUCCUACGGGAGGCAGCAGUAGGGAAUCUUCCGCAAUGGGCGAAAGCCUGACGGAGCAACGCCGCGUGAGUGAUGAAGGUCUUCGGAUCGUAAAACUCUGUUAUUAGGGAAGAACAAAUGUGUAAGUAACUAUGCACGUCUUGACGGUACCUAAUCAGAAAGCCACGGCUAACUACGUG
rnacentral:rRNA from 1 species